rnacentral:rRNA from 1 species
GCUGAAACGUUCGCCGCCCCAAAANCCACAAACACACUUAACAACCCCCCUCUAAACCAUUCGCCCUGUCGAGUAUAGGAGAUAGAAACACACCCUGCGCGCAAUAGCCAAUAGUACCACAAGGGAACACUGAAAGACAAUUAAACACUUACGCACAAAACAGCAGGGAUCAGACCCCGUACCUCUUGCAUCAUGGUCUAACUAGCCCUAGCCAGAUAAAGUGCACUAAACCUGCCCCCCCGAACCCAGACGAGCUACCCCGGACUAAUCAUAUUGGAUUUACCCCAUCUCUGUGGCAAAAGAGUGGAAGAAGCCCCGGGUAGAGGUGAAACGCCUACCGAGCCUGGUGAUAGCUGGUUGCUCAUUAAACGAAUAUAAGUUCGACUCUAGUUUUUCCCCACAGCUACCAAUACCCGCCUGUAAACAACUAGAAGUUAUACAAUUAGGGAUCAGCCUAAUUGUACCAGGAUACAACCCGCCUUGCUGGGUCCAGCCCCACCCCAUCAACAAAACCCCGUAGGCCCCCGAGCAGCCACCCCUAAAAAUCGCGUCAAAGCAAAACACACAAAAAUCCCACCCACCACUGCCAACCCACACAUCAAACUGAGCCCCCCUAGCAAGCUCUAGGGGAGAUACUGUUAGAACUAGUAAUAAGACACCCCCCCCUCUCCUCGCACAGCCUUACGCCGGCACGGAUACCCCACCGGCAAUUACCAGCCAACCCCCUCCUACACAGCACUAAACAACUGUCACCCCAACACAGGCGUGCCUUAAAGAGUAGGUCAACCGCCAUAGAAGGAACUCGGCUAAUAUGCCCCACCUGUUUACCAAAAACAUGGCCUUUAGCAUCACAAGUAUUAAAGGUCCCGCCUGCCCAGUGAACCACUUUUAAACGGCCGCGGUAUUCUAACCGUGCAAAGGUAGCGUAAUCACUUGCCCUCUAAAUAGGGGCUUGUAUGAACGGCUAAAUGAGGGCCUAACUGUCUCCUAUGGCAACCCAAUGAAACUGCUCUCUCAGUACAAAGCUGAGAUACCCCACAGACGAGA